CCGCUUAGGAACAUUCCCGCCACCUAAGGUAAUUGUUUUGAUUUGAAAACAUUGAGUUUCGAAAUUAUUUCACCAAACAUCCAGGGAAGAUUAAGGAUCUGAUGAAGAAGCACUACAACAAUUUGAAAAUGCAGACCACAGCAGAAAAUUUCUCAAACUAGCAUCAUCUUGAAAUUGGAAUUGUUGGAGGUUGCACAAUAUCAGUCAGCUGGCUUGAGCUUGUUAUGGAAAUGUUACUUAGAUCAGCAAUCUACUCAGAAGAAAUGGGAAAAGUGAAAUUACCUAAGAAGGCAUUCAUGGAUGACAUAACAAUAUUAAAAAUAAAAUAUAUAUUGAAAAACAACACAGCUUACAAAAAUAAAUAGUAAAAUGGUAAAAAUGUUCAGAAAAGGAAAACAAUAAAUAAAUGAAAUACCAAGUUUAGAAAUAUUCUAAAACUAUUUUGUAAGUGAUUAAUGAGUGUUAUCAAUCCAGGAGUAAAAUUUAUACUCUUCCUUCAAUGUAUGAGGUACUCUACAUCAAGCAUGGACAACUAUUUUUUUUUUUUUUCCUUUUUGAGAAACAGGCCACACGGCUAAGAGAAUUCAAGGUAAUUUUAUCAAUUGUCAAGCCAUUCAGAAGUCUUGCAGGUUGCAGUUUACCUGUGAUUACCUUACGUGGUCAUUCAGCCAGCUAGAAGUAGCAGCUGUUUUGUUUCAAACGUUACUGUCUUCUAACGGGAAAGUCAUCCAACAAAGCAGUUCACUUUCUGUAAUAAUAAAUUUUAAAGCUGU
rnacentral:lncRNA from 1 species